GACGAACCGUGCGAACGUUGUUCGGAAUCACUGGGCUUAAAGGGCGCGUAGGCGGGGGACCAAGUCUGGGGUGAAAGCUUUCGGCUUAACCGGAAAAGGGCCUUGGAUACUGGUUCUCUCGAGGGAGGUAGGGGUCUGCGGAACUUCUGGUGGAGCGGUGAAAUGCGUUGAUAUCAGAAGGAACGCCGGUGGCGAAAGCGGCGGACUGGACCUCUUCUGACGCUGAGGCGCGAAAGCCAGGGGAGCAAACGGG
rnacentral:rRNA from 1 species